rnacentral:rRNA from 1 species
GAUGAACGCUGGCGGCGUGCCUAAUACAUGCAAGUCGAGCGAACAGACGCGGAGCUUGCUCCUCUGACGUUAGCGGCGGACGGGUGAGUCACGCGUGUAUCACCUACCUAUCAGACUGGGAUAACUUCGGGAAACCGGCGCUAAUACCGGAUAAUCUCUUGAUCCGCAUGGUUCAAUAGUGAAAGACGGUUUUGCUGUCACUUAUAGCUGGAUCCGCGCUGCAUUGGCUAGUUGGUACGUUAACGGCUUACCAAGGCGACGAUGCGUAGCCGACGGGAGAGGGUGAUAGCCCACACGGGAGCGGGGACACGGUCCAGACGCCUACGGGAGGCAGCAGUAGGGAAUGUGACGCAAUGGGCGAAAGCCUGACGGAGCAGCGCCGCGUGAGAGAUGAAGGUGCUCGGAUCGUAAAACUCUGUUAUUAGGGAAGAACAAAUGUGGAAGUAAAUAUGCACGUCUUGACGGUACCUAAUCAGAAAGCCACGGCUAACUACGUG